rnacentral:rRNA from 1 species
CCCUUAGAUGUCCUGGGCCGCACGCGCGCUACACUGAUGCAUGCAACGAGUUUAUAACCUUGGCCUGAAAGGUCUGGGUAAUCUUUUGAACGUGCAUCGUGAUAGGGAUAGAUUAUUGCAAUUGUUAAUCUUGAACGAGGAAUUCCUAGUAAACGCGAGUCAUCAGCUCGCAUUGAUUACGUCCCUGCCCUUUGUACACACCGCCCGUCGCACCUACCGAUUGAAUGGUUCGGUGAAGAUCUCGGACUUCGAUAUUUAUUCUUUAUUGAGUUUAUAUUGUGUGAAGUUAUCUAAACCUCAUCAUUUAGAGGAAGGUGAAGUCGUAACA